GGGGUGUGCUCAGAGCAGGGGGCCUGAAGAAUGGCUCUCUGUUUACAACACACCCAACAGGAAUCUGGGUUCAUUGUGACAAGGGGCACAACUUGUGGCCUUCCUAUAAACAAUUGCCCUACACAU
rnacentral:snoRNA from 12 species